AGCUCCAAUAGCGUAUAUUAAAGUUGUUGCAGUUAAAAAGCUCGUAGUUGGAUUUGUGGCGUACGUUGGGCUUCCAUCCCUUUUGGGUUGUGUGUUGCCUGGCGUUGCCAUCCUUGGGUGGAAUCUGUGUGGCAUUAGGUUGUCGUGCAGGGGAUGCCCAUCGUUUACUGUGAAAAAAUUAGAGUGUUCAAAGCAGGCUUAUGCCGUUGAAUAUAUUAGCAUGGAAUAAUAAGAUAGGACCUUGGUACUAUUUUGUUGGUUUGCGCACCGAGGUAAUGAUUAAUAGGGACAGUUGGGGGUAUUCGUAUUCCAUUGUCAGAGGUGAAAUUCUUGGAUUUUUGGAAGACGAACUACUGCGAAAGCAUUUACCAAGGAUGUUUUCAUUAAUCAAGAACGAAAG
rnacentral:rRNA from 1 species